rnacentral:misc_RNA from 1 species
UAAUCUCUCACCCUUGGACUGCAAAGUUCAUGUCGGUGGAUUUGGGUGCUGCCGUUGUUGGCUCGCCUUGAAAUGCAUUAGCCUUUGGCUCCCGUGCGGGGUCGUCGCGGUGUGAUAGUUACUUUGCAUCGUUGACCUUGUGCUGACCGAGGCUCAUAGUCGUCUUCGGACAAUUAUUCGAA